GAUGGGGAGGGAAGAUGGAAACCCUGGCUGGGGAACUGGGGAUGGAUAAAAUAAAAAUGAAAAAAAUUUAUCACCAUUAACCAUCAUGAUCCAUCCUGUAUUUGCAGGAGUCAUGUAGGUAAAUUCAACAGGGAUAUGAUGGAAACCAACACCUCUGCAUCCUUUAAAUACCUGACUUGCGCUUAUUCCCGACAUUCCUCUUGGGAUAAGCUUCUAAUUUACUAUCUUGGCACUCUGGUGGCAGGAGGGCAUUUUUCAGGGUCGUUUUCUAGCUAUUCUUACCAUAAUAAGUUCUAUACAAUAGGGCAGGGCCUGUGAAAGUUUGGCCAGCUGUUAAGUGUGUCUAUUCAAGCUUCACAUCUGAGACCUGGGAAUACAGCCACAGAACAGGUUAUUUCUUGUUCUCAGGAUUCUAGUUUGCAGAAUUUUUGGAUGCACAAUGAUAUGGCUUGGCUGUGUCCCCACAGAUGUGUUCUUGUCUUGAAUUCCCAUGUGUUGUGGGAGGGACCUGGUGGGAGGUAAUUGAGUCAUGGGGGCAGGUGUUUCCCAUGCUGUUCUCCUGAUAGUGAAUAAGUCUCACAAGAUCUGAUGGUAUUAUAAGCGAGAAUUUCCCUGCCCAAUCUCUCUCUUUGCCUGUCCCCCUCCACAUGGGAUGUGACCUCCUCCUCCUUGCCUUCUGCCAUGAUUGUGAGGCCUCCCCAACCAUGUAGAACUGAACCUGUGGUGAUAAGGAAGACGUGAACCUGGGGAUACAGAAGCUAGCACAUGAAUGCUAACAACGAAGCUGACGCAGUCAAAGGCAGUGCCAAGAAACUAAAAGGAAACAAAUUUGGAUUACAGUUUUGGAGUUCCUGGGUCAAGCAGUUCAUGACACUGAGGCUUUUCUGCUACAUUAAUAAAUACUUUUUCUUUCCUGCUAAAGUGAGUUUGUGUUGGCCUCUUUAACACUCAAAACAACCGGAUACUAACUGAAGCAACACUUCUUACCUCUUACACUCAUUUCACCCGUAAAACAGAAACAACACUUAAACUUGGAUCGCAACACAACUACCAAAGCAGAAAAGUUCAAAUCAACAAGUCAUUCAUGGAUAAUGUUUGACUGAAACUGCAUUUCUCCUCCAGUGUGAGUGUGCUGUUGGCGAAAUGUUGCGUGUUGAUUCUGCAUGCCUUUGUGUUCUACACGUAGUGUGUGUGCUAUGUGAUGAAUCGUUUCUUUAUCAUUUUUCUCAGCUUGAAUGGUUGCAUCACCUCCAUUCACAGAGCUCACUGUGACGGCAUUCAACCUUGUCUAGGUACAAGUGUGUAAUUUACAUGAUCGUUGCCUCUGUACUUUCCUUGGUAACUUAAACAAAGAAGACCAUCACUCACCAUGCUUGCCUUUCAAAUUACAUUUGAUAUCUAAUUAAAGUCUCAUUUUAUUAGAUUUCUGAAGCCAAA